GACAGAGGGUGCAAACGUUGUUCGGAAUUACUGGGCGUAAAGCGCGUGUAGGCUGUUCGGUAAGUCGGAUGUGAAAGCCCUGGGCUCAACCCAGGAAGUGCAUUCGAAACUCCCGAACUGGAGUCCUGGAGAGGAAGGCGGAAUCCUCGGUGUAGAGGUGAAAUUCGUAGAUAUCGAGAGGAACAUCGGUGGCGAAGGCGGCCUUCUGGACAGUGACUGACGCUGAGACGCGAAAGCGUGGGGAGCAAACAGG
rnacentral:rRNA from 1 species